ACUCAAAGGAAUUGACGGGGGCUCACACAAGCGGUGGAGCAUGUGGCUCAAUUCGAAGCAACGCGAAGAACCUUAUCCUGGGCUUGACAUGGUGGAAGUAGGAAAUCGAAAGACGUACGACCGGUAUCCAAUCCGGAACCAUCACAGGUGCUGCAUGGCUGUCGUCAGCUCGUGCUGUGAAGUGUCGGGUUAAGUCCCAUAACGAGCGAAACCCUUAUUGUUAGUUGCCAGCGGGUCAUGCCGGGCACUCUAACAAGACUGCCGGUGUUAAACCGGAGGAAGGCGGGGAUGACGUCAAGUCCUCAUGGCCUUUAUGCCCAGGGCUGCACACGUGCUACAAUGCCGAUGACAAACCGAAGCAAGACCGUAAGGUGGAGCAAAUCGGAGAAAAAUCGGCCCAGUUCAGAUUGAGGGCUGCAACUCGCCCUCAUGAAGUUGGAAUCGCUAGUAAUCGCGUAUCAGCUAUGACGCGGUGAAUGUGUUCCUGAGCCUUGUACACACCGCCCGU
rnacentral:rRNA from 1 species